rnacentral:snRNA from 1 species
GUGCUUGCUUCGGCAGCACAUAUACUAAAAUUGGAACGAUACAUAGAAGAUUAGCAUGGCCCCUGCGCAAGGGUCCAUUAGAAAGGCCAUUAGCAUGGCCUCACGCAAAUUUGUGAAGCAUUCCAUAUUUUU